rnacentral:rRNA from 1 species
UAGCGUAGGGUGCAAGCGUUUGUCCGGAAGUUAUUGGGAGCGUAAAGGGCGUCGUAGGCGGUCUGUCACGUCGGGAAGUGAAAACUGCGGGGCUUAACCCCGACGCCUGCUUCCGAUACGGGCUAGAACUAGAGGUAUGCAGGGGAGAAUGGAAUUCCUGGUGUAAGCGGGUGAAAUGCGCAGAUAAUCAGGAGGAACACCGGUG